UAGCUCUUGCAUCUACUUCUGCAUAUUAAUAUUCUCAUCAUGCCUUAAUCUUUGAUUUUUGGUUGGAAGAUCUGGUAUUAUGGCGAGGCUUGUCAUCAACAGGGUUGCUUGGGACAGCAAUUCAUGGCCCUUCCUUGCAUUCUUCUUCUAAAACUCAAGCUUGGCUAGAUAAUGCUACUGGCACUACAUGACCUAGUUCAUUUGGAAAUGGUGUCUCAACCGAAAAGUGCAUAAAAAUCAAUCAUGGAAAAGAUGUGCAGCUCAUAUGUUCACAUAAGUCGUCUUAUUUGGGAUUUAAAAAAUUCAGAGAGAAAGGAAAGGAUUUCAAUGCAGCGUAACCAAUUGAGAACAGAUGAAGAAUCAAAGGAAGUAGUUUCUCUGGCAGGCAACAAUUCCAGUGGCCUGAGAAAUGGAUUGAAUGGAGUUGUUUCUGCUAACAGCAUUGGUGGUUCAGCCAUGGAGAAGAAUUCAAUUGAAGCUAGAAAAGGUAUUUUUCUACAGCAGGGGCUCCAUCAAGAUCAGCAGCGGCCUCCUGCAUCUGGGACCUACACUUCUCUUUGUCUAAGUACAGUAGCAACUCCAUUUGACUAAUGCUGGUUCUUUUGGAAAUAAUCUUACUCCAGUUGAUCCCUGUUGUUAUGAAAGGAACAAUAGUCAUGUGGAUACUCGAUUGUAUUUGAUUUUGUUUGGUUGUGUUUCAAGAUAGAAUUGAUUGUAUAAGGAUAGGUGAAUGAGGCGUGUUCUAACUUAAAUGUUUAGUUCAUGUUUUUGACAAGUGAAUACUUGACCAAUACAAAAGGUGUAUAUUGUUUAGAAAGUUGAUGUUGAGUAAAAA